rnacentral:ncRNA from 2 species
UCCUUAUCAAGAGAGGUGGAGGGAAAAAGGCCCGAUGAAGCCCGGCAACCGGCAAGGCUUUUUUAAAGCUUUGCAAUGGUGCCAACUCCGUCAGAAAGCUUAAAAAGUUUAUAUAUUUUAAGCUUUCUGAGAGAUGAGGA